CCUACGGGGGGCAGCAGUGAGGAAUAUUGGUCAAUGGACGCGAGCCUGAACCAGCCAAGUCGCGUGAAGGAUGACGGCCCUACGAGUUGUAAACUUCUUUUAUACAGGAGUAAAGUGAGGCACGUGUACCUGUUUGUAUGUACUUUAUGAAUAAGGAUCGGCUAACUCCGUGCCAGCAGCCGCGGUAAUACGGAGGAUCCGAGCGUUAUCCGGAUUUAUUGGGUUUAAAGGGAGCGUAGAUGGUUUGUUAAGUUAGUUGUGAAAGUUUGGGGCUCAACCCGAAAAUUGCAACUUAUACUGGUAGGCUUGAGUACAGUUGAGGUAGGCGGAAUGCGUGGUGUAGCGGUGAAAUGCUUAGAUAUCACGAAGAACGCCGAUUGCGAAGGCAGCUUACCAAACUGCCACUGACAUUGAUGCUCGAAAGUGUGGGUAUCAAACAGGAUUAGAUACCCUGGUAGUC
rnacentral:rRNA from 1 species